rnacentral:rRNA from 1 species
GGACGGGUGAGUAACACGUGGAUAACCUACCUAUAAGACUGGGAUAACUUCGGGAAAACCGGAGCUAAUACCGGAUAAUAUUUUGAACCGCAUGGUUCAAAAGUGAAAGACGGUCUUGCUGUCACUUAUAGAUGGAUCCGCGCUGCAUUAGCUAGUUGGUAAGGUAACGGCUUACCAAGGCAACGAUGCAUAGCCGACCUGAGAGGGUGAUCGGCCACACUGGAACUGAGACACGGUCCAGACUCCUACGGGAGGCAGCAGUAGGGAAUCUUCCGCAAUGGGCGAAAGCCUGACGGAGCAACGCCGCGUGAGUGAUGAAGGUCUUCGGAUCGUAAAACUCUGUUAUUAGGGAAGAACAUAUGUGUAAGUAACUGUGCACAUCUUGACGGUACCUAAUCAGAAAGCCACGGCUAACUACGUGCCAGCAGCCGCGGUAAUACGUAGGUGGCAAGCGUUAUCCGGAAUUAUUGGGCGUAAAGCGCGCGUAGGCGGUUUUUUAAGUCUGAUGUGAAAGCCCACGGCUCAACCGUGGAGGGUCAUUGGAAACUGGAAAACUUGAGUGCAGAAGAGGAAAGUGGAAUUCCAUGUGUAGCGGUGAAAUGCGCAGAGAUAUGGAGGAACACCAGUGGCGAAGGCGACUUUCUGGUCUGUAACUGACGCUGAUGUGCGAAAGCGUGGGGAUCAAACAGGAUUAGAUACCCUGGUAGUCCACGCCGUAAACGAUGAGUGCUAAGUGUUAGGGGGUUUCCGCCCCUUAGUGCUGCAGCUAACGCAUUAAGCACUCCGCCUGGGGAGUACGACCGCAAGGUGAAACUCAAAGGAAUUGACGGA